rnacentral:lncRNA from 10 species
CCCUCACUACCUUCCUCCCUCCCUCCACAAAUACCUUUAUUGCUUUUUUUUUAACUGGGGAGUAUUCACUAUUUCUUUACACUUCUAUAUGGAUUUCACUUUUAAAAAAUCUAUCAGCAUGCAUAUUUCGUGCAUGUCUGAAACCUUUAAAAUAUUGUUUGAUCUUCAUGAUUAUUUAAAAAUAUGUAUAUUGAGUAUUUGCUUAAGGUAAAGCCAUUGCUGCCAUUUCCAAUUAAAAAACUAAUAAAUGUAUUUUAAAAGAAUGUCUGCCAAGACUGUUCUCUGACAAAGUAUCUCUGUGGAUAUUUAAAUGGCACCAAGAUGGAUUACUGUUUCUGAUUAUUUCUCAUGUAGGGUCUCAGUGAUUUUGCAGAAAUCGUAAUUGAAGAAAAUGAUGGAAAGGAAGCUUUGAAUAUGGAGUGUUGUUAUUGCACUGACUGGACAACCAGAUGGAGCUAUUCCCAGUCCCCAGCACACAGAUAGAGAAUCUAUUCGACAAUAACUAAAGAGGUGUACAGUUCUAGAACAUUCUGCAACCAGACUUCAGGCACCAGGAGGCCUCCGUAGGCAGGGUUCCUCGGGCUUCUCAGCUGGCUUCCUUGGAGAAAUUUCAUAUGCUGAUUCCUUUCAAUUAUCCCAACUCUUUCUUUGUUUCAUCUUUCUUACUAGACAUGUUUUAUUUUCCUAAAGAAAACAUAAAUAAAAACAAAAAAAAAUUCUUCAUUGAUACACACACACACACACACACACACACACAUACACAAUUUAGGUCAAAUUAUUUUUACUACUUAGGAUGUCUUUAGUUAUUUUACAUAUUUAUAACACAGAAAAAAAGUAAGAAGAAAAGGAAAAAUGGUGUAUAAUCUUAAGACCAGGAGAUAACCAAUAAUAAAUAUUUUGCUAUAAUUUCUUUUCAUAUUCUAUGCAUAUACAUUUUAUGGAAUUGAGUUCACACUGUUCACAUAAUUUUGCUUUCUCUAUUUUGCCUUUACCUUUAUCAAUAAGCAUUUUCUUUAUAUCCUUAAAAUUUCUUUAUUAACGUAACCUAAUACAUAUGCACAAAAUGUUACCUAAUCAUUCGCCUGUUUAAGGGCAUUUGGUAAUUUCCAAUAUUUUUUCCUUCACGAUUUCGGGUAAUGUUUAAAUAAACCAAUUUAUGGAAAAGAGCUACCUAUGUUGGAUUACUUGCUUAGAAUGAAUUCCUGGAAAUAGAAUUACUGGGUCAAAGGGUACCAACAUAUUUAAUGUCCCCAAAGGCAUAUUGGCAAAUUGCCUUCCAUACAAAUUAUACC